GUGUGUGUGUGUGUAUAUGGAUAGAGGAGACCAUUAAUGUGGAGGUAUGUAUAUAAAGCAAAGGAUUUCCACACGGAACACCAUAUUUGGUGGCUUUGUUAGUAAUUUGCUCGGUAUAUAUCCCUUCUGAUGAUGAUGAUAUCUAUAUAUGUAAGUAUCAGUAAUUAAUGGUUAAGGAUGAUAAAUAUCAUUGAGGUGUUUAAAAAAAGUAGGUUAGGGCGGAUAGCUCGGCCAUCAGGGAUUUUAUUUUCUCACUUUUAUAUGUUUCAUUACUCUCAUAUCUGUUUCUUUUUCCUAGCUAUCAUAUGUUGAUUCUGGAGCGGGUGAAAAUUCUCCUGUUGAUCUGUAGGUGGCGGGGGACAAGGGGAGAGUGAGAUGGCAGGCUGUGUUUCUCACUUUUCUUUGUUUUGCAGUUUCUUGAUUUUCUAAUUACUCCAAACUUCUUCACCAACCUCUUGUAAUGCUUGAGAGGCAUGGUUUACCUGACAUAAAAGAAUAUUUCCAAUCAUGCUCCUCUGUCCGCGGUAUUUAAUCUUUUAGUCUGUUUAUCGAAAAUUGAGGAUGAUUAA
rnacentral:lncRNA from 1 species